AAGAACCAACAGGGAUUGCCUCAGUAACGGCGAGUGAAGCGGCAACAGCUCAAAUUUGAAAUCUGACCCUCGGGUCCGAGUUGUAAUUUGUAGAGGAUGUUUCGGGUAAGAUCCAGGCCUAAGUUCCUUGGAACAGGACGUCAUGGAGGGUGAGAAUCCCGUACGUGGCCCAGGAUCGCACCCAUGUGAAACUCCUUCGACGAGUCGAGUUGUUUGGGAAUGCAGCUCAAAAUGGGUGGUAAAUUUCAUCUAAAGCUAAAUAUUGGCCAGAGACCGAUAGCGCACAAGUAGAGUGAUCGAAAGAUGAAAAGCACUUUGAAAAGAGAGUUAAAAAGUAUGUGAAAUUGUUGAAAGGGAAGCGCUUGCCGCCAGACUUGUGGAUGGGGUUCAGCCGUCGUUCUCGUCGGUGUAUUUCCCCAUUUCCAGGCCAGCAUCGGUUUGGGUGGAAGGUUAAAGGCUCCGGGAAUGUGACUUCCCUCGGGUCGUUUUAUAGCCCGGAGCAGAAUCCUUCCCACCUGGACCGAGGAAUGCGUUCGCUAGGAUGCUGGCGUAAUGGUUGCAAGCGACCCGUCUUGAAACACGGACCAAGGAGUCUAACAUCUAUGCGAGUAUUCGGGUGUCAAACCCCUAUGCGUAAUGAAAGUGAACGGAGGUGGGAGCCUCGGCGCACCAUCGACCGAUCCUGAUGUCUUCGGAUGGAUUUGAGUAAGAGCAUAGCUGUUGGGACCCGAAAGAUGGUGAACUAUGCCUGAAUAGGGUGAAGCCAGAGGAAACUCUGGUGGAGGCUCGCAGCGGUUCUGACGUGCAAAUCGAUCGUCAAAUUUGGGUA
rnacentral:rRNA from 1 species